AAAAAGUUAGUUUAUAAAAACACCAUUUUGUCAAAAUGGAGAUAUUUAUUUUAAUACUUUUUA
rnacentral:tRNA from 1 species